GCCGCCGCUGCAGCAGCAGCGUCAGGGACAAGCCUGAUCCGUGAGCGAGCGAGCACCCAGCAGCAACCACCACUUUGGGCAACUUGCGGGUUUCCUGCUCGCGGGUAGCGAACGGGAGAUUCCCACUAGCGGUUCAGUGUCUCCGAGCCGCUGCAGCCCGAGGGGCGGCGGGAGCGCCCGCACCAGACUCUCCCAGACGCGAAAAGGGACGAGACAACUGCGGAAUUCACCAGCCGUGCCAGGGCACUUCCGAGGCCACAACCGACUGACACUUUUUCUCCCCUUGGCAAACUGGAUUUUUUUUUUUAAGCUACUUGGCAGCUGUCUCUGACUCCACCUCCCCCUCCACCCCCGCCCGAAAGCCUUUGGCUUUUCUUCGGAAAUCCAGACAGAAUUGGGCAUCUUUGUUAAUUGCCGUUGGGGACGCCCGGCCGUGCGCUUUCGCCGGCUAACGUCGCCUGUGCUCCGAGCCUGGUUUGCUCACCUUUGAACUGCAAAGGGAUCAAGUUCAGCUUGAGUUCCCUGCAUUGGGAAGGAGAGAGAGCGUGCAAGAGAGCGAGUGGGAGAGGGGGAAAGGGGAAAGGAGAGGAGGGAGG
rnacentral:lncRNA from 10 species